AGCAGCAGCCACGGUGAUACGAAGGGUGCAAGCGUUAAUCGGAAUUACUGGGCGUAAAGCGUGCGUAGGCGGUUUGUUAAGUCUGUUGUGAAAUCCCCGGGCUCAACCUGGGAAUGGCAGUGGAUACUGGCUCGCUAGAGUGUGGUAGAGGAUGGUGGAAUUUCCGGUGUAGCAGUGAAAUGCGUAGAGAUCGGAAGGAACAUCUGUGGCGAAGGCGACUAUCUGGGCCAACACUGACACUGAGGCACGAAAGCGUGGGGAGCAAACAGGAUUAGAUACCCGCGUAGUCCCUGUCUCUUAUAC
rnacentral:rRNA from 1 species